rnacentral:rRNA from 1 species
UCGCUGUAUGUUACAAGUGUCAUACAGGACUGCCGGUAUCAAGCCGGAGGAAGGCGGGGAUGACGUCAAGUCAGCAUGGCCUUUAUAUCCGGGGCUACACACACGCUACAAUGGCCAAUACAAUGGGUCGCAAAGCCGCGAGGUAGAGCCAAUCCCCAAAAUUGGUCUCAGUUCAGAUUGCAGGCUGCAACCCGCCUGCAUGAAGCCGGAGUUGCUAGUAAACGCGCGUCAGAUUUAGUGCGUUGAAUACGUUCCCGGGGCUU